ACAUCGAGCCCACUGCACAGUGGUAACCUAGCAAUUUUUCGCCGCCCUCCUCCUCUAGCACGACGAACACAUCGAGGCAGUAAUCGUUGCCACCUUCUAUCCUUCUUCAAUCUUCAGCCGUCAGCACAUCAUCUCCUUCUUCACUCUUCAGCCGCCGGUUCUCCUCGCUUAGCCUCUUGCAAAUCUUGAGCUGCCGAGGCGCCGAUUCUCCUCAGUCCUCGCUCAGCCUCUUCCUCUUGCAAUACCUUUUCAAGCACUGCUGCACUACUAAGUGGCAUUUCAAGUUUUAGCAUAGCACCGGAUUUUACGGGUAGGCAGUGGACUUCUCUUUAUCUUAAAGUGACAAAUCAUAGCCUCACAGGAUUUGAUGAAACCAAAGCAAAAUAUUGACAAAGUGUUGAAUGCUCAAUCUACGGAAGAAAUUAUAAAGAAUAGGUUGCGCCUAAAGGCAACAAUUGAAGGUUUAUUAUGGCUUGCAACUCAAGGAUGUUC